GUACAAUCCAGUACCCUGAUUCAGUACUCUUCCUUGUACCAUUAUUAAUUUGAUUUCAGUUUUUUUUUAUGUAUUUUAUUAUGAAUUACGUUUUUCUUUGCAUUUUUUUUUGGUGGCAUUGGUUAUUUCUAAGAAGCCAAAUUGAAUUCUUGCAAAAAAUUACACUUGUUUUAUCAAGUUGGUUUUUAUUUAAAUUGUUAUUCAGGUGCUGAAUAUGCUUGAGAUGACUUCUGGUUAAAGGGCUUUAUUAUGUAUUUUUCAUAGUCUUGUUUUAGUUACUGUGAAUAAAAAAUAAAAUGUUAAGAACUUAUGAUUUGUGUGUGUGUGUG
rnacentral:misc_RNA from 1 species